AAGUCGUAACAAGGUUUCCGUAGGUGAACUGCGGAAGGAUCAUUGUCGAAAAUUGCCAAGCAGGGCGACCCGCGGACAUGUUGAAAUAAAUCGUCGGGGGCACGGCGUCUAACGUGGCACGGCGCCCUCGACUGCCGGCCGGGCCCGCACCUUACGGCCUGCUCCAGGAGCGGCAACGGGGGUGCGGGACAAGGCUUGGCACAAGAACGAACCCCGGCGCGGAUCGCGCCAAGGAACGGUAACGUAGCGUGCGUUGCCUUGCCGCCGGAUGCCCGGCGAGCGAGGUGGCGGCCGGUCGUAUCUGAACGACUCUCGGCAACGGAUAUCUCGGCUCUCGCAUCGAUGAAGAACGUAGCGAAAUGCGAUACUUGGUGUGAAUUGCAGAAUCCCGUGAACCAUCGAGUCUUUGAACGCAAGUUGCGCCCGAAGCCUCUAGGCUGAGGGCACGUCUGCCUGGGCGUCACGCAUAGCGUCGCCCCCGACCAAGCCAUCGCGUCUCUGCAUGCUUGGUUGGGGCGGAGAGUGGCCUCCCGUGCGCCGUUGUGCGGUUGGCCUAAAAUCGGAGCUCGGCGACUGCGCCACGACGUCCGGUGGGGGACAGGGCGAAGGCCAAGGUUGCAUCGCGUCGCGCUCGGCCCGUCGUCGGUGAAGCUCGCACGACCCCGUCGCGCCGUC
rnacentral:rRNA from 1 species